rnacentral:rRNA from 1 species
UACGAAGGGGGCUAGCGUUGCUCGGAAUCACUGGGCGUAAAGCGCACGUAGGCGGAUCUUUAAGUCAGGGGUGAAAUCCCAAGGCUCAACCUUGGAACUGCCUUUGAUACUGGGGAUCUCGAGUCCGGAAGAGGUUGGUGGAACUCCGAGUGUAGAGGUGAAAUUCGUAGAUAUUCGGAAGAACACCAGUGGCGAAGGCGGCCAAACUGGUCCGGUACUGACGGCUGAGGUGCGAAAGCGUGGGGAGCAAACAGG